AGUGAACGCUGGCGGUAGGCCUAACACAUGCAAGUCGAACGGCAGCACAGAGGAGCUUGCUCCUUGGGUGGCGAGUGGCGGACGGGUGAGGAAUACAUCGGAAUCUACUCUGUCGUGGGGGAUAACGUAGGGAAACUUACGCUAAUACCGCAUACGACCUACGGGUGAAAGCAGGGGAUCUUCGGACCUUGCGCGAUUGAAUGAGCCGAUGUCGGAUUAGCUAGUUGGCGGGGUAAAGGCCCACCAAGGCGACGAUCCGUAGCUGGUCUGAGAGGAUGAGCAGCCACACUGGAACUGAGACACGGUCCAGACUCGUACGGGAGGCAGCAGUGGGGAAUAUUGGACAAUGGGCGCAAGCCUGAUCCAGCCAUACCGCGUGGGUGAAGAAGGCCUUCGGGUUGUAAAGCCCUUUUGUUGGGAAAGAAAUCCAUCUGGUUAAUACCCGGGUGGGAUGACGGUACCCAAAGAAUAAGCACCGGCUAACUUCGUGCCAGCCGCCGCAGUAA
rnacentral:rRNA from 1 species